UACGGAGGGGGCUAGCGUUGUUCGGAAUUACUGGGCGUAAAGCGCGCGUAGGCGGAUCUGCAAGUCGGGGGUGAAAUCCCGAGGCUCAACCUCGGAACUGCCUUCGAAACUGCGGGUCUCGAGUCCGGGAGAGGUGAGUGGAAUUCCUAGUGUAGAGGUGAAAUUCGUAGAUAUUAGGAAGAACACCAGUGGCGAAGGCGGCUCACUGGCCCGGUACUGACGCUGAGGCGCGAAAGCGUGGGGAGCAAACAGG
rnacentral:rRNA from 1 species